rnacentral:snRNA from 1 species
AGUUUUGUGUAGUAGCAGUAUUGUAGCCAAUGAGGUUUAUCUGAGGCAUGAUUAUUGCUAAUUGAAAACUUUUCCCGAUACCCCACCAUGAUGACUUGAAAUAUAGUCGGCAUUGGCAAUUUUUGACAAUCUCUAUGGAGA